rnacentral:rRNA from 1 species
CCUACGGGGGCAGCAGUGGGGAAUAUUGGACAAUGGGCGAAAGCCUGAUCCAGCCAUGCCGCGUGUGUGAAGAAGGCCUUCGGGUUGUAAAGCACUUUCAGUGGGGAAGAAAGCCUUGGGGCUAAUACCCUCGAGGAAGGACAUCACCCACAGAAGAAGCACCGGCUAACUCCGUGCCAGCAGCCGCGGUAAUACGGAGGGUGCGAGCGUUAAUCGGAAUUACUGGGCGUAAAGCGCGCGUAGGCGGUCUGAUAAGCCGGUUGUGAAAGCCCCGGGCUCAACCUGGGAACGGCAUCCGGAACUGUCAGGCUAGAGUGCAGGAGAGGAAGGUAGAAUUCCCGGGGUAGCGGUGAAAUGCGUAGAGAUCGGGAGGAAUACCAGUGGCGAAGGCGGCCUUCUGGACUGACACUGACGCUGAGGUGCGAAAGCGUGGGUAGCAAACAGGAUUAGAUACCCCGGUAGUC